AGGCUUUGAUCCUGGCUCAGGAUGAACGCUGGCGGCGUGCUUAACACAUGCAAGUCGAACGAACCUUCGGGUUAGUGGCGGACGGGUGAGUAACGCGUGAGAAUCUGCCCUCAGGAGGGGGAUAACGGCUGGAAACGGCCGCUAAUACCCCAUAUGCCGAGAGGUGAAACGAGUUUUCGCCUGAGGAUGAGCUCGCGUCUGAUUAGCUAGUUGGUGGGGUAAGAGCUUACCAAGGCAUCGAUCAGUAGCUGGUCUGAGAGGAUGAUCAGCCACACUGGGACUGAGACACGGCCCAGACUCCUACGGGAGGCAGCAGUGGGGAAUUUUCCGCAAUGGGCGAAAGCCUGACGGAGCAACGCCGCGUGAGGGACGAAGGCCUCUGGGCUGUAAACCUCUUUUCUCAAGGAAGAAGAUCUGACGGUACUUGAGGAAUAAGCCACGGCUAUAUCCGUGCUA
rnacentral:rRNA from 1 species